rnacentral:rRNA from 1 species
CAGUCGCCACGGUAAAACAGAGGGUGCGAGCGUUAAUCGGAUUUACUGGGCGUAAAGCGUGCGUAGGCGGCUUCUUAAGUCGGAUGUGAAAUCCCUGAGCUUAACUUAGGAAUUGCAUUCGAUACUGGGAAGCUAGAGUAUGGGAGAGGAUGGUAGAAUUCCAGGUGUAGCGGUGAAAUGCGUAGAGAUCUGGAGGAAUACCGAUGGCGAAGGCAGCCAUCUGGCCUAAUACUGACGCUGAGGUACGAAAGCAUGGGGAGCAAACAGGAUUAGAUACCCCGGUAGUCCCUGUCUCUUAUAC